ACAGAAAAUGCACCGCCCCGAGUGUCUUAUUGCUGUGAUGAAAUGGAAAUUUAAAUAAAAGGUCGAACACGUGCGUUCACUGGGAAGUAUUGACAUGGGUGUUACAUCACCAGCAGCCAAUCAGAUAACUCCAGUCGUGUUUAUACUUCUACAACCACCUUGUGAGUAUUACAGUAUGUCAUAACGUUAUAAAUAUUAGGCAGGGUUUUCCCCAGGAGCGGGGAGGAGUCUGCUUCUACGGACGUUGUGAGCGGCUCCGAAGAUUGUGUGUUUAAAGUCAACAAUUCAUUUUUAAGACUUUUUUCGAACUGUUUACAUUACAUGGACUUUAGAUUGAUUCUGACAGAAUGAACUGGAAAUGAAAUCCCACAGUUAUGAUCGUAGUAGAGUUUUUUUUUCCAAUUUAGGGCCCUUAUACUCCUUUUAAAAAUUUUUAAUAUGCUAAAUUUAGCAAAUACUAAAGUGUUAAGACUCAUCUGACAAUGUGAGAAUUUAAGCCUAUUUCAGGUUAAGAAAAAAAAGAUGUUUUCAAGUUAUGGAGGGGCUUUUUACUCUUAAGCGACAUAUGUAUUAGAAGUUGAAUCACGAACUGAUAAAAUGCUCCAGAUAAUUGUUGACUAAAAAAAAUACGGCAGGACAAAUUUUUUACAUUAAUACAUAUGUGCAGAAAAUGAGAAAUAUACAUGAACUCUUUACAGUUAUAGAUUAAUGGGAAGGGUUAUGUUAAAGGCUUGAACCUCCUAAAUAAUGUAUUAAUGUAAAUAAAGUUAUAUAUGUUUUAUGAAGAACAGGUGUUACAAUUUUUAGACCUAGUUUUAUGAUUCUUAUUCUCUUCAAAAGUUCUUUUUCUAUUUCAAAACUAAGAGCAAUAUGUAAAGCUUUGUAUAAUAUGGAAUAUGGUAUGUAUUUCAAGGUUACUUUAAAAAGCAAGCUUUGGCUGGUCCCAAGGUAGUGAAUUGUCUCAAUUGGUUAUUCACAGUUGGUUGCCCGUUGUACCACUCUUUCCCCACUUCCACUUGACUAGUCUUUUAAAAAUAAAUAAAUAUUUAAAUAAACAAGUCUUCUCAAACAUUAUAAAAGACCGUUUUUCUUAAUAUUUUUUAAAUGGACUAACAUGAAUCCACAUCCAGACUCAUA
rnacentral:lncRNA from 1 species